AUACUUACCUGGCAGGGGAGAUACCAUGAUCACGAAGGUGGUUUUCCCAGGGCGAGGCUUAUCUAUUGCACUCCGGAUGUGCUGACCCCUGCGAUUUCCCCAAAUGUGGGAAACUCGACUGCAUAAUUUGUGGUAGUGGGGGACUGCGUUCGCGCUUUCCCCUG
ensembl:snRNA U1 U1 spliceosomal RNA